UACGUAGGGGGCAAGCGUUGUCCGGAUUCAUUGGGCGUAAAGAGCGUGUAGGCGGCCAGGUAGGUCGGUUGUGAAAACUGGAGGCUCAACCUUCAGAGGUCGACCGAAACCAUCUGGCUAGAGUCCGGGAGAGGAGAGUGGAAUUCCUGGUGUAGCGGUGAAAUGCGCAGAUAUCAGGAGGAACACCGGUGGCGAAGGCGGAUCUCUGGGCCUUACCUGACGCUGAGGCGCGAAAGCUAGGGGGAGCGAACAGG
rnacentral:rRNA from 1 species